rnacentral:rRNA from 1 species
UGCCAGCCGCCGCGGUAAUACGAGGGGCCCGAGCGUUAAUCGGAAUCACUGGGCUUAAAGGGUGCGCAGGCGGACUUGUAAGCAUCUUGUGAAAUCCCCCGGCUCAACCGGGGAACUGCAGGGUGAACUGCAAGUCUUGAGACAGGUAGGGGCAGAUGGAACUGUCGGUGGAGCGGUGAAAUGCUUAGAUAUCGACAGGAACGCCAAUGGCAAAGGCAAUCUGCUGGGCCUGUUCUGACGCUCAGGCACGAAAGCGUGGGGAGCAAACAGGAUUAGAUA